GAUGAACGCUGGCGGCGUGCCUAAUACAUGCAAGUCGAACGAAACUUCUUUAUCACCGAGUGCUUGCACUCACCGAUAAAGAGUUGAGUGGCGAACGGGUGAGUAACACGUGGGCAACCUGCCCAAAAGAGGGGGAUAACACUUGGAAACAGGUGCUAAUACCGCAUAACCAUAGUUACCGCAUGGUAACUAUGUAAAAGGUGGCUAUACUACCGCUUUUGGAUGGGCCCGCGGCGCAUUAGCUAGUUGGUAGGGUAAAGGCUUACCAAGGCAAUGAUGCGUAGCCGAAUUGAGAGGUUGAUCGCCCACAUUGGGACUGAGACACGGCCCAAACUCCUACGGGAGGCAGCAGUAGGGAAUCUUCGACAAUGGGCGAAAGCCUGAUGGAGCAACGCCGCGUGGGUGAAGAAGGUCUUCGGAUCGUAAAACCCUGUUGUUAGGGAAGAAAGUGCGUGAGAGUAACUGUUCACGUUUCGACGGUAUCUAACCAGAAAGCCACUGCUAACUACGUG
rnacentral:rRNA from 1 species